rnacentral:rRNA from 1 species
AGUGAACGCUGGCGGUAGGCCUAACACAUGCAAGUCGAACGGCAGCACAGUAAGAGCUUGCUCUUACGGGUGGCGAGUGGCGGACGGGUGAGGAAUACAUCGGAAUCUACUUUUUCGUGGGGGAUAACGUAGGGAAACUUACGCUAAUACCGCAUACGACCUACGGGUGAAAGCAGGGGAUCUUCGGACCUUGCGCGAUUGAAUGAGCCGAUGUCGGAUUAGCUAGUUGGCGGGGUACAGGCCCACCAAGGCGACGAUCCGUAGCUGGUCUGAGAGGAUGAUCCGCCACACUGGAACUGAGACACGGUCCAGACUCCUACGGGAGGCAGCAGUGGGGAAUAUUGGACAAUGGGCGCAAGCCUGAUCCAGCCAUACCGCGUGAGUGAUGAAGGCCUUCGGGUUGGAAAGCCCUUUUGGUGGGAAAGAAAAGCAGCAGGUUAAUACCCCGCUGUUCUGACGGUACCCAAAGAAUAAGCACCGGCUAACUUCGUG